UACGAAGGGGGCUAGCGUUGUUCGGAAUUACUGGGCGUAAAGCGUGCGUAGGCGGUUUGUUAAGUCCGUUGUGAAAGCCCCGAGCUCAACUUGGGAAUUGCAGUGGAUACUGGCAGGCUGGAGUACGGUAGAGGAAGGUGGAAUUCCCGGUGUAGCAGUGAAAUGCGUAGAUAUCGGGAGGAACACCAGUGGCGAAGGCGGCCUUCUGGACCAGUACUGACGCUCAUGCACGAAAGCGUGGGGAGCAAACAGG
rnacentral:rRNA from 1 species